rnacentral:lncRNA from 1 species
UCUUUUUAACAAUCAAUUGGAUGAGAAUCGUCCAUUAAAAUUCAAUUCAUUAUAAACUUGGAUUAUUGACUCACACGAAAAGAAAAAACAGUUAGGACCAACUUGUUACAUGUUCACCUUUCAAGACAUUCUGUGUUUGCAAAGCAGGUUACAUCUUCAAACAAUCUUAUACUAUGAGAAAGUACAUAGCCACGAGGAACAAAUUCCAGUUUGUGUUACAAAAGAUGGCUAUCAGAGCAUCUGUAGAAUUCAGAUGAUAACAUACUUAGUGAUUGUCAUUCAAGGCAGCAAAAUUAUCUUUAACAGCAUCUCCUUGCAAGAAAGCAUUUGACGUAUUGUAGGAAAACGCCGGCAAAUUCAAGGAGGUGCGGGCAGCCAAUAUGUCUUCUUCGAGUAUUUCUAUGUUCUCCAGCAUAUUUCCCUGUAUAUUGUCCAUAGAAAUUACAUAGUGCUGAGUGGAAGUUUAAAUCAAAAAAAGAAAAUAGCAAAUUUCCUUCCACAAAAAAGCCAAUCAAGUAAGAAUUUAAGCUAGUAUAAUAAGUAGAUAUAGUUUUCGUCGGUGACAAACAGCAUUUAGAAAGAAGAAAAUAUAGCAUCAAAGAUAAAAUGGCAUUAUAACAUACAUAAGCCGGUAGCUCUUAACCUUUUUUUUUUUUUUCCCCUUUUUUCCUUCUUCUUUUCUUUUCAUUUUUUCAUUUUUUAUGACAACAUGGUUAACACAAGAUAAUUUAUUCAAGUCUGAU